UGGGGAAUUUUGGACAAUGGGCGCAAGCCUGAUCCAGCCAUUCCGCGUGAGUGAAGAAGGCCUUCGGGUUGUAAAGCUCUUUUGUCAGGGAGGAAAUUGACCAGGCUAAUACUCUGGUUAGAUGACAGUACCUGAAGAAUAAGCACCGGCUAACUACGUGCCAGCAGCCGCGGUAAUACGUAGGGUGCAAGCGUUAAUCGGAAUUACUGGGCGUAAAGCGUGCGCAGGCGGUUUUUUAAGCCAGAUGUGAAAUCCCCGAGCUUAACUUGGGAACUGCAUUUGGGACUGGAAGGCUAGAGUACGGCAGAGGGGGGCGGAAUUCCACGUGUAGCAGUGAAAUGCGUAGAGAUGUGGAGGAACACCGAUGGCGAAGGCAACCCCCUGGGCCUGUACUGACGCUCAUGCACGAAAGCGUGGGGAGCAAACA
rnacentral:rRNA from 1 species